CGGAAGCCUGAGGUAUGCACAGGGCUAGUGAGCUAAGAAUAUUCCUCUGUCGCCUUUUCAAGGACAAGGGAAGCCAGGGUGGAGACUGUGCUGAGCUAAGAAACUGAUUUUGCAACAUUGCUAAACUAGCAGACUGGAGAGAUGCUCACAAUUCUCAGAUGAUAUGAGUGUUUCUCUGCAUGGGCAUCAGAGCUGCCACUGCUUGACAUUCCAAGAACUUCCCAGCUACAGGUUCAUCACCUUCUCCUCCCAGGAAAGACAUGUGAGAUUCUGCACAGAGACAGGAAUGUCGUGCCAAAGAGCCUGAAGUCAUGCCAGUGGUGGAGUGCUGAUUGGAACAGACUGGGUUUGGAUGACAUCUCUACUCAUCUGUAAUGGAAGCUGUGUCAAAAUAGGAAAAAUUUUGAAAAACUCUGGUGGCCUUUGGGUGAUGAAGUUAAUGAUAAUUGCCACCUUUUUUCAUGAAGUUUCUUGAACUUUGACAACUUUAGGAACAAUAAUACUGAUAUUGAUAAUAUGUCAUCUUGUUCUCAUGUUCUGUGAUUCUGAAGAAGCAAGAACUGACCACCAUGUACAUCAGCUGGAACCUUUCUGGAAUCCACACAGUGUAAUAAUCCUUAGGAAAAGCUACCUGGGAUUCAGCUGUUACAAUCAGAAGGCCACGAACACUCAACUGGAACCUUUCAUAAUCCCAGUAAAAGGAAAGAUUCAGCUCUUGUCCUGAUUGCAGACUUUGUGUUGGUAUUUUAAAAUCUGUAUCGGUGAAUAAUUUCAAAUUUUAAAUCUACCUACAUAGUUGACAAAGACUUUGGACUGUGAUGAUUUUAAUGUGUAUCUAUGAAUUAUUUAAUACUCUUUCCUUCGAAGGGUAGAAUACAUUUUCACUUUUCUUAAGUGUGGGGUAAACUUAAUGACUCAUUUGUAAAAAAUAAAUUGAAGUAUGCAUAGAGGUGUCACUUCUAAUGCUAGGUCAUAAAAGACGUUUUGUUUUCUGCCCUGUUCUGUCUUUCUCUUUGAUCAUUCAGGCUGGGGGAUGCCAGCUGCCAUAUUGUGAAGACCCUCAAGCAUCCCUGUGGAGAGGUCCCCAUGGCACAGAAAUGGACUCUCAGCCCAAAAGCCAACAAAGAACCAAGGCCUCAAGCCAGCAGCCAUGGGAAUGGGAAUGUGCCAUCUUGGAAGCCAAUCCUGCAGCCCCAGUCAAGCCUUCAGAUGACAGUAGCCCCAGCCAAUAUCUUCACUGGAUCUUACUGAGAGACUAUGUGCCAGCAUGACCCUACUAAACAACUCUCAAAUUUCUGACCCUCAGAAAUUGUGUGAGAUAAUAAUUGUUUUUUGUUUUAAUAUGCUAAGCUUUAGGUUUGUUUGUUACUCCAAAUUAGACAACUAAUUCAGAAUGCAAUAUAUACACUCAGCCAGGUCAACUCCUCUGCUUCUUGAUGCCUGGGGAGAGUGGAGAGAGUGAUGGAUCCCCAUUAUUAUUGCACCCAGGGUACACUGGUCUGGGUUUAGAAUGUCUUGUGCUUUUUCAACCUUCUGUUCCCACAUUUCUCAGUAGUAUGUAUAUUAAACUCUCUUCAGUAACCCACUUUGAGUCUGCCAUUUUUUCCUGUUAGGUUCCCACCUGAAGUGGCUGCCAUGUAACAUCUACACAAACUCCAGCAAGUGGUGGUGGUAUCACCUGUGCUGUGAAUACCUCCCAGUGCAACCAUGCCUAUCACAUUGGAUGAUGCCAUUCAGAGCUGCUAGUGUCAGCAAAGCCAGGCUCCAGUGUCACCAGGGUGGUUUGCCUGCAUCACAGGUUCUUCGCCGACAUCACCAAUGGCUGUGCUGCCCAGGCUUUGCUCUCUCCAGUGCUCCUUUGAUAUUUGCGCGCCCCCCACCUCCUCCUAGGACUCAGAAGUAAGUCAUGUGAGAUGUGCGGGAAAGGAGCCAAGAGAAGGGCAAUUAGAAUCACCCUGAAGCAAAUUUGUCUUUCCAGGAUGUCCUGCCCAGGGCUUUACUGGGGUCUCACAUGAAUAGCUCUUGGCAGUGCCCCAGUGCACUAGAAAUGCUUAUAAAUUCCUGAAUCCCAAUGUGAACAGAGUUUGGGUCAGUCUGGACCCUUGCUU
rnacentral:lncRNA from 1 species